UGCAAGUCGAACGGUAACAGGAAGAAGCUUGCUUCUUUGCUGACGAGUGGCGGACGGGUGAGUAAUGUCUGGGAAACUGCCUGAUGGAGGGGGAUAACUACUGGAAACGGUAGCUAAUACCGCAUAACGUCGCAAGACCAAAGAGGGGGACCUUCUGGCCUCUUGCCAUCGGAUGUGCCCAGAUGGGAUUAGCUAGUAGGUGGGGUAACGGCUCACCUAGGCGACGAUCCCUAGCUGGUCUGAGAGGAUGACCAGCCACACUGGAACUGAGACACGGUCCAGA
rnacentral:rRNA from 1 species